UACGAAGGGGGCGAGCGUUGUUCGGAUUUACUGGGCGUAAAGGGCGCGCAGGCGGCUCAUUUUGUCAGGCGUGAAAGCCCCGGGCUUAACCUGGGAACUGCGUUUAUACGGAUGGGCUAGAGUUCGGGAGAGGAGAGUGGAAUUCCCAGUGUAGAGGUGAAAUUCGUAGAUAUUGGGAAGAACACCGGUGGCGAAGGCGGCUCUCUGGACCGAGACUGACGCUGAG
rnacentral:rRNA from 1 species